AUUGAACGCUGGCGGCAGGCCUAACACAUGCAAGUCGAACGGUAACAGGAAGAAGCUUGCUUCUUUGCUGACGAGUGGCGGACGGGUGAGUAAUGUCUGGGAAACUGCCUGAUGGAGGGGGAUAACUACUGGAAACGGUAGCUAAUACCGCAUAACGUCGCAAGACCAAAGAGGGGGCCCUUCGGGCCUCUUGCCAUCGGAUGUGCCCAGAUGGGAUUAGCUAGUAGGUGGGGUAACGGCUCACCUAGGCGACGAUCCCUAGCUGGUCUGAGAGGAUGACCAGCCACACUGGAACUGAGACACGGUCCAGACUCCUACGGGAGGCAGCAGUGGGGAAUAUUGCACAAUGGGCGCAAGCCUGAUGCAGCCAUGCCGCGUGUAUGAAGAAGGCCUUCGGGUUGUAAAGUACUUUCAGCGGGGAGGAAGGGAGUAAAGUUAAUACCUUUGCUCAUUGACGUUACCCGCAGAAGAAGCACCGGCUAACUCCGUG
rnacentral:rRNA from 1 species